rnacentral:tRNA from 1 species
GCCUCCAUAGCUCAGUGGUAGAGCACUGGUCUCGUAAACCAGGGGUCGUGAGUUCAACCCUCACUGGAGGCA